UGGGAAUUUUGGACAAUGGGCGCAAGCCUGAUCCAGCCAUCGCCGCGUGCGGGAAGAAGGCCUUCGGGUUGUAAACCGCUUUUGUCAGGGAAGAAAUCUUCUGAGUUAAUACCUCGGGAGGAUGACGGUACCUGAAGAAUAAGCACCGGCUAACUACGUGCCAGCAGCCGCGGUAAUACGUAGGGUGCAAGCGUUAAUCGGAAUUACUGGGCGUAAAGCGUGCGCAGGCGGUUUUGUAAGACAGAGGUGAAAUCCCCGGGCUCAACCUGGGAACUGCCUUUGUGACUGCAAGGCUUGAGUGCGGCAGAGGGGGGAUGGAAUUCCGCGUGUAGCAGUGAAAUGCGUAGAUAUGCGGAGGAACACCGAUGGCGAAGGCAAUCCCCUGGGCCUGCACUGACGCUCANGCACGAAAGCGUGGGGAGCAAACAGGAUUAGAUACCCUGGUAGUCCACGCCCUAAACGAUGUCAACUGGUUGUUGGGAAGGUUCCUUCUCAGUAACGUAGCUAACGCGUGAAGUUGACCGCCUGGGGAGUACGGCCGCAAGGUUGAAACUCAAAUGG
rnacentral:rRNA from 1 species